CUCAACAAAACAUUUCAACCUGACUUCCUCAGGUUCCUAUUCACGUCCUCAAUGGGUUUCCUUGCUUCCUUGGUCCGCUUAUUGAGAUUGUCUAUGACGUCAUCGAUCAUCUUUAUAAACAGACCUCAGACCCUUCGUCGUUUUAACCACUUCAGUAUCGUGGCAUCCAGCAAUGGAAGACCCGGGAGUGAACGUUGCCCACCUUGUUGUGUGUCUUCUGUGCUGUGAUUGGUACAUCUGUUGCUAUGGACGCAUCUUACAGUUUUAUGACGUGAUCUUUUCAGCGAGAAGCCCUCUUUUAAUGACUCAAUGUCUAGCACCAUUCAGAAAGGGUAACUCGAGACACAGUACCAGCAAUAACGCCCAAGUAAGGAAGACUCAGAAGUAUGUAUUGUACCACCAAGGAGCAUAAAACUAAAAAAAAUUUCCAUUUCAAGUGGAUGCCCAGCUGCAGUUCUCUGAGGCUUAUAGAGUGACAAAAUGGCUUCCUUUUGAGUGUUAGCCAGUCACACAGGAGGAGUCCCAACAAACACCCAAAGUGGAUCUGAUGCUCUGUUGGAAUUGGUUGGUGGGGAGGAAUGAAUGCUGGACACUUCGCACCAUGGCUUCCUGGGAGACCUUCAGAAUGAAGCUUAUAUUUCCCCUCCCCUCCGGGAGUGCAUGGUUGGAACCCUGUGUUCCUUGCUCCCUCUUGCUGGGUCACCCGCUUUCUUUCUCACUUUUCGUUGUCACCUUCUUUGCUACAUGGCAUGCUUUCAUAAUCGUCUGCUCUUUGGGACUUAGCCUACUCUCCCUUAUUUUGAAACUUCUCUGUACCACCAAGGCACAGCUUUGACUCUACCAUCGUGCCCCAGAUUCCCUGUGUUCACUCCCCUUCCUUUCUCCUUUCAUACAAUUUCUCCAGGCACAAUGGCCACCGAUUUUUGAUGUUGUACACUGCUCAAACCACCAAACAGUUGUAAGCCUUGCAGAAAAAACUUUUAUGACUGUUUUCUUUCAGGAAGCCAAGUCUAAUCAAAGUACUAGAAGCCGGUAUCUCCCAUGUAUUAUUUUCUCACACAUGUGCUCAUUCCGUUUUUCCAAAAAUUACUUUUUAAAGUCCUACGAGGCACAGAUGUUAAUAUGAAUUGAAUCACUGCAUGUAAAUUGAAUUUUCUUCUGUCAACUAGAGGAAGUGUACGUUAGAAGCAUGAUGAUAAAUUAUUUAUUCCUACUUCGAGGAGACCAAAAUAAAAAUGCAUCCUCUAUCAGUUUGGCAAAAUUGGAACAUCAAAUUUUUACUUAUUACUGUAGCAACUGACUGAAUACUUUUAUAGAAAUGUUUUAAUUUUUACAUAUAAUAUCCUUAAGAGAACCCUGAUUUUGGUGAGAAUUUUGUUGGUCACUUACGGUGACUAAAAAAAAAAAUCUGUUAUUUUGAGCUUUUUUAUGUUCCAUGUAUAAUGAAUAAAUAACCAUUUCUUUAUGUUAAAUCUUCACUUGUUUGUACAGAUUAAAAGAGACCCACUGAACACUAAUGAAAGAUGGGGAUAGUCACAGUGACGCCAGUUAUCGGAUCCCUGCUGUCACACUGCUGCCUUCAGGAUAGUCUUUUCGGAUGAUCUCUAGGCUCUUUCUCUUUGUACCCUUUCCUUUAUCACGCUCUACAUAACAAA